rnacentral:rRNA from 1 species
UACGAAGGGGACUAGCGUUGUUCGGAAUCACUGGGCGUAAAGCGCACGUAGGCGGAUGUGUCAGUCAGGGGUGAAAUCCCGGGGCUCAACCUCGGAACUGCCUUUGAUACAGCACGUCUCGAGUCCGGAAGAGGUGGGUGGAAUUCCUAGUGUAGAGGUGAAAUUCGUAGAUAUUAGGAAGAACACCUGCGGCGAAGGCGGGUAGCUGGGCCAACACUGACGCUGAGACGCGAAAGCUAGGGGAGCAAACGGG